UUUGACUGGGGCGGUCUCCUCCCAAAGAGUAACGGAGGAGCACGAAGGUGGGCUAAUCACGGUUGGACAUCGUGAGGUUAGUGCAAUGGCAUAAGCCCGCUUGACUGCGAGAAUGACAAUUCGAGCAGGUGCGAAAGCAGGUCAUAGUGAUCCGGUGGUUCUGAAUGGAAGGGCCAUCGCUCAACGGAUAAAAGGUACUCCGGGGAUAACAGGCUGAUACCGCCCAAGAGUUCAUAUCGACGGCGGUGUUUGGCACCUCGAUGUCGGCUCAUCACAUCCUGGGGCUGAAGUCGGUCCCAAGGGUAUGGCUGUUCGCCAUUUAAAGUGGUACGCGAGCUGGGUUUAGAACGUCGUGAGACAGUUCGGUCCCUAUCUGCCGUGGGCGUUGGAAGAUUGAAGGGGGCUGCUCCUAGUACGAGAGGACCGGAGUGGACGAACCUCUGGUGUUCGGGUUGUGUCGCCAGACGCAUUGCCCGGUAGCUAAGUUCGGAAUCGAUAACCGCUGAAAGCAUCUAAGCGGGAAGCGAGCCCUGAGAUGAGUCUUCCCUGAUACUUUAAGUAUCCUAAAGGGUUGUCGGAGACUACGACGUUGAUAGGUCAGGUGUGUAAGUGCUGUGAGGCAUUGAGCUAACUGAUACUAAUUGCCCGUGAGGCUUAACCAUACAACACCCAAGGGGUUU
rnacentral:rRNA from 1 species